rnacentral:rRNA from 1 species
UGCAAGUCGAACGAGAUCCUUCGGGGUCUAGUGGCGCACGGGUGCGUAACGCGUGGGAAUCUGCCUUUCGGUACGGAAUAACUCAGGGAAACUUGUGCUAAUACCGUAUGACGUCGCGAGACCAAAGAUUUAUCGCCGAAAGAUGAGCCCGCGUAGGAUUAGCUAGUUGGUGGGGUAAAGGCCUACCAAGGCGACGAUCCUUAGCUGGUCUGAGAGGAUGAUCAGCCACACUGGGACUGAGACACGGCCCAGACUCCUACGGGAGGCAGCAGUGGGGAAUAUUGGACAAUGGGCGAAAGCCUGAUCCAGCAAUGCCGCGUGAGUGAUGAAGGCCUUAGGGUUGUAAAGCUCUUUUACCCGGGAUGAUAAUGACAGUACCGGGAGAAUAAGCCCCGGCUAACUCCGUGCCAGCAGCCGCGGUAAUACGGAGGGGGCUAGCGUUGUUCGGAAUUACUGGGCGUAAAGCGUACGUAGGCGGUGACUCAAGUCAGAGGUGAAAGCCCGGGGCUCAACUCCGGAAUUGCCUUUGAAACUAGGUCGCUUGAACGUCGGAGAGGUGAGUGGAAUUCCGAGUGUAGAGGUGAAAUU